AUGUCCCGCCACCAUCGUGCUGCCACCAUGCCCAAGAGAAAGGCUGAAGGGGAUGCUAAGGGAGAUAAAGCCAAGGUGAAGGACGAACCACAGAGAAGAUCCGCGAGGUCAUCUGCUAAACCUGCUCCUCCCAAGCCAGAGCCCAAGCCUAAAAAGGUCCCUGCAAAGAAGGGAGAGAAGGUAUCCAAAGAAACAAAGGGAAAAGCUGAUGCGCAAGGAGGGGAAUAACCCUACAGAAAACAGAGAUGCCAAAACAGACCAGGCACAGAAAGCUGAAGGUGCUGGAGAUGCCAAGUGAAGUGUGUGCAUUUUUUAUAACUGUUUACUUCUGGUGACUGUACAGUUUGAAAUACUAUUUUUUUUUCAAGUUUUAUAAAACUGUAGAAUUUUGCUUUAAUUUUCUUAAGCUAUGUUGUUAGCACACAGAACAUGUCAUUAUUGUUUUGGAGGGAAAGGGCGUAUGUCAUUAAUAGAAUGUCUCUAAAGCUGGAUUGAUGUGGGGAAAACACCUUUCCCUUCUAGUUUUGAAAGACUUCCUCUUGGCUCCCAGGAGAAGGGAUUCCCUGACUUUGACACACAUGGCCAUCUUGGCACAAAAGCCUUGUGGCAUGGAAAAACAAAUUCGUUUUUAUGUCCUCUUCUCCCUUUCCGUCUUUCAGCAUAGACUUAACUCCCUUAAGCCCAGACAUCUGUUGGGACCUGACCCCCAGUCAUUGGUUACCAGUGUGUCAGGCAAUCUAGACUUUGCAGUGAUGCCACUGAGAUGGCACCUGUCAAAAGAGCAGUGGUUCCAUUUGUAGAUUGUGGAUCUUCAGAGAAAUUCUACAAUUUUCAUUUCACUUCCUGAAAGUCAGGGUCGGCUUGUGAAAAGCUGUUAAACAACCUGCUGAAUGUGAAAUGUCAACCUUCA